UACGGAGGAUGCAAGCGUUAUCCGGAAUGAUUGGGCGUAAAGCGUCCGCAGGUGGCUGUGUAAGUCUGCUGUCAAAGAGCGAAGCUCAACUUCGUAAAGGCAGUGGAAACUACACGGCUGGAGUGCGUUCGGGGCAGAGGGAAUUCCUGGUGUAGCGGUGAAAUGCGUAGAGAUCAGGAAGAACACCGGUGGCGAAGGCGCUCUGCUAGGCCGCAACUGACACUGAGGGACGAAAGCUAGGGGAGCGAAUGGG
rnacentral:rRNA from 1 species